GGGUUGUGAGGUUAAGCGACUAAGCGUACACGGUGGAUGCCCUGGCAGUCAGAGGCGAUGAAGGACGUGCUAAUCUGCGAUAAGCGCCGGUAAGGUGAUAUGAACCGUUAUAACCGGCGAUUUCCGAAUGGGGAAACCCAGUGUGACUCGUCACACUAUCAUUAACUGAAUCCAUAGGUUAAUGAGGCGAACCGGGGGAACUGAAACAUCUAAGUACCCCGAGGAAAAGAAAUCAACCGAGAUUCCCCCAGUAGCGGCGAGCGAACGGGGAGGAGCCCAGAGCCUGAAUCAGCAUGUGUGUUAGUGGAAGCGUCUGGAAAGGCGCGCGAUACAGGGUGACAGCCCCGUACACAAAAGCGCAUGUGCUGUGAGCUCGAUGAGUAGGGCGGGACACGUGGUAUCCUGUCUGAAUAUGGGGGGACCAUCCUCCAAGGCUAAAUACUCCUGACUGACCGAUAGUGAACCAGUACCGUGAGGGAAAGGCGAAAAGAACCCCGGCGAGGGGAGUGAAAAAGAACCUGAAACCGUGUACGUACAAGCAGUGGGAGCCCCACCACUAAGCCAGUGGUGAACUCCACAUACGCAUCCUUUGCUGAGGAUACGGUUAACGGAGCGAAAGCGACGUUCAACCGCAAAAGAAGCAGAGGGGGCUUAGUGGUGGGGUGACUGCGUACCUUUUGUAUAAUGGGUCAGCGACUUAUAUUCUGUAGCAAGGUUAACCGUAUAGGGGAGCCGGAGGGAAACCGAGUCUUAACCGGGCGUUAAGUUGCAGGGUAUAGACCCGAAACCCGGUGAUCUAGCCAUGGGCAGGUUGAAGGUUGGGUAACACUAACUGGAGGACCGAACCGACUAAUGUUGAAAAAUUAGCGGAUGACCUGUGGCUGGGGGUGAAAGGCCAAUCAAACCGGGAGAUAGCUGGUUCUCCCCGAAAGCUAUUUAGGUAGCGCCUCGUGAAUUCAUCUCCGGGGGUAGAGCACUGUUUCGGCUAGGGGGCCAUCCCGGCUUACCAACCCGAUGCAAACUGCGAAUACCGGAGAAUGUUAUCACGGGAGACACACGGCGGGUGCUAACGUCCGUCGUGAAGAGGGAAACAACCCAGACCGCCAGCUAAGGUCCCAAAGUCAUGGUUAAGUGGGAAACGAUGUGGGAAGGCCCAGACAGCCAGGAUGUUGGCUUAGAAGCAGCCAUCAUUUAAAGAAAGCGUAAUAGCUCACUGGUCGAGUCGGCCUGCGCGGAAGAUGUAACGGGGCUAAACCAUGCACCGAAGCUGCGGCAGCGAACGUAUCACUUAAAGCGAUUCAGCGGGUUACGAUUGACGGAGCGAAGCGACGUCAAAGCGUAUACAAAGUCGAGUCGGUUUAAGGAUACGUUCGUUGGGUAGGGGAGCGUUCUGUAAGCCUGUGAAGGUGGCCUGUGAGGGUUGCUGGAGGUAUCAGAAGUGCGAAUGCUGACAUAAGUAACGAUAAAGCGGGUGAAAAGCCCGCUCGCCGGAAGACCAAGGGUUCCUGUCCAACGUUAAUCGGGGCAGGGUGAGUCGACCCCUAAGGCGAGGCCGAAAGGCGUAGUCGAUGGGAAACGGGUUAAUAUUCCCGUACUUGGUGUUACUGCGAAGGGGGGACGGAGAAGGCUAUGUUGGCCGGGCGACGGUUGUCCCGGUUUAAGCGUGUAGGUGUGUGUUCCAGGUAAAUCCGGUUCACUUUAACACUGAGGCGUGACGACGAGGCACUACGGUGCUGAAGCAACAAAUGCCCUGCUUCCAGGAAAAGCCUCUAAGCAUCAGGUAACAUCAAAUCGUACCCCAAACCGACACAGGUGGUCAGGUAGAGAAUACCAAGGCGCUUGAGAGAACUCGGGUGAAGGAACUAGGCAAAAUGGUGCCGUAACUUCGGGAGAAGGCACGCUGACACGUAGGUGAAGUGAUUUACUCACGGAGCUGAAGUCAGUCGAAGAUACCAGCUGGCUGCAACUGUUUAUUAAAAACACAGCACUGUGCAAACACGAAAGUGGACGUAUACGGUGUGACGCCUGCCCGGUGCCGGAAGGUUAAUUGAUGGGGUCAGCGCAAGCGAAGCUCCUGAUCGAAGCCCCGGUAAACGGCGGCCGUAACUAUAACGGUCCUAAGGUAGCGAAAUUCCUUGUCGGGUAAGUUCCGACCUGCACGAAUGGCGUAAUGAUGGCCAGGCUGUCUCCACCCGAGACUCAGUGAAAUUGAACUCGCUGUGAAGAUGCAGUGUACCCGCGGCAAGACGGAAAGACCCCGUGAACCUUUACUAUAGCUUGACACUGAACAUUGAGCCUUGAUGUGUAGGAUAGGUGGGAGGCUUUGAAGUGUGGACGCCAGUCUGCAUGGAGCCGACCUUGAAAUACCACCCUUUAAUGUUUGAUGUUCUAACGUGGACCCGUGAUCCGGGUUGCGGACAGUGUCUGGUGGGUAGUUUGACUGGGGCGGUCUCCUCCUAAAGAGUAACGGAGGAGCACGAAGGUUGGCUAAUCCUGGUCGGACAUCAGGAGGUUAGUGCAAUGGCAUAAGCCAGCUUGACUGCGAGCGUGACGGCGCGAGCAGGUGCGAAAGCAGGUCAUAGUGAUCCGGUGGUUCUGAAUGGAAGGGCCAUCGCUCAACGGAUAAAAGGUACUCCGGGGAUAACAGGCUGAUACCGCCCAAGAGUUCAUAUCGACGGCGGUGUUUGGCACCUCGAUGUCGGCUCAUCACAUCCUGGGGCUGAAGUAGGUCCCAAGGGUAUGGCUGUUCGCCAUUUAAAGUGGUACGCGAGCUGGGUUUAGAACGUCGUGAGACAGUUCGGUCCCUAUCUGCCGUGGGCGCUGGAGAACUGAGGGGGGCUGCUCCUAGUACGAGAGGACCGGAGUGGACGCAUCACUGGUGUUCGGGUUGUCAUGCCAAUGGCACUGCCCGGUAGCUAAAUGCGGAAGAGAUAAGUGCUGAAAGCAUCUAAGCACGAAACUUGCCCCGAGAUGAGUUCUCCCUGAGACUUUAGGUCUCCUGAAGGAACGUUGAAGACGACAACGUUGAUAGGCCGGGUGUGUAAGCGCAGCGAUGCGUUGAGCUAACCGGUACUAAUGAACCGUGAGGCUUAACCUUACAACGCCGAAG
rnacentral:rRNA from 1 species